CUCGCCCUGGACAGUGGCGGCGGGGGUUGGCCCUGAAGAUGUCGCAUUGUCACUGGUUUGGAACUUGUCUGUCUCCACAGAAGCCUCUCUACCUGCUGCCCUUGGGGGCCUCCGCACCAGAGGGGCUUCCUGGAAAAGGGCUUGGAGUCUGCUUUCUGGCUCAAUGCUGGGCACCCUGUCUGGGACUCCCCAUCAUUUCGCCCUCCUGGGUGCUGCCGGCUGGGACACAGACACUGACCUUCCCACCCCCAAACCUGGUACCUGCAAAGAAGGUCAUGAGCAGGGCUACCCAGCCCAGGAUGUAGGACCAGGAAAAGCGCCAGUCCCCGAAGCGGCGACCCAGAAAGCUGACGGUAGCACUUGGUGCCCAGGCAGUAUCGCCACAGGCCCUGGUGGGCAAAGGCCCCUGACAGCCGGUACUGCAUCCAGUGGUCUGUCGCCGUGGCCACCACCAGGAGGAUGGUCCCCACCCAGGCACAGAAGAGGCCGCCUCCCAUGAAGCUGUACAUGGUGACCUGUGGGUGCCUACCAUUCCAAAAGAAGAAGCAGAAGAACCAGGAAAGCUACUAAACAACAACAACAAACUUUUCCUAACUGAAGGCUAGCUUUCUUAGGCUUAGCAAGGCAACAACUCCAUUCUUCCUGAAAUCAGU